UGGCGGACGGGUGAGUAACGCGUGGAAAACCUGCCGUAUACUGGGGGAUAACACUUAGAAAUAGGUGCUAAUACCGCAUAAGCACACAGCUUCGCAUGAAGCGGUGUGAAAAACUCUGGUGGUAUACGAUGGUUCCGCGUCUGAUUAGCUAGUUGGUGGGGUAAUGGCCUACCAAGGCAACGAUCAGUAGCCGGCCUGAGAGGGUGAACGGCCACAUUGGGACUGAGACACGGCCCAAACUCCUACGGGAGGCAGCAG
rnacentral:rRNA from 1 species